rnacentral:rRNA from 1 species
CAGAGGGUGCGAGCGUUAAUCGGAAUUACUGGGCGUAAAGCGCGCGUAGGCGGCUUUGCAAGUCGGGUGUGAAAUCCCCAGGCUCAACCUGGGAACUGCAUUCGAGACUGCAUUGCUAGAGUAUGGGAGAGGGAAGUGGAAUUUCCGGUGUAGCGGUGAAAUGCGUAGAUAUCGGAAGGAACAUCAGUGGCGAAAGCGACUUCCUGGACCAAUACUGACGCUCAUGUGCGAAAGCGUGGGGAGCAAACAGGAUUAGAUACCCUGGUAGUCCACGCCAUAAACGAUGAGAACUGGAUGUCGGGAGGGUCUGCCUCUCGGUGUCGUAGCUAACGCGUUAAGUUCUCCGCCUGGGGAGUACGGCCGCAAGGUUG